ACUGCUGAGGAGCGCUGCAUUCCUCGAAGGGAUUGAACCCGCCGGCGGAUCAGGCUCAGCUAAAUACAACGGCGCUCGCAUCGG
rnacentral:ncRNA from 2 species